CGUAGGGUGCGAGCGUUAAUCGGAAUUACUGGGCGUAAAGCGUGCGCAGGCGGUUUUGUAAGACAGGCGUGAAAUCCCCGGGCUCAACCUGGGAACUGCGCUUGUGACUGCAAGGCUAGAGUACGGCAGAGGGGGGUGGAAUUCCACGUGUAGCAGUGAAAUGCGUAGAGAUGUGGAGGAACACCAAUGGCGAAGGCAGCCCCCUGGGUCGAUACUGACGCUCAUGCACGAAAGCGUGGGUAGCAAACAGGAUUAGAUACCCUGGUAGUCCACGCCCUAAACGAUGUCAACUAGGUGUUGGGUGGGUAAAACCUUUUAGUACCGGAGCUAACGCGUGAAGUUGACCGCCUGGGGAGUACGGCCGCAAGGUUA
rnacentral:rRNA from 1 species